CCGUACAGCUACCCAGUCGUUUUUCACACUAAAUAUUGCUUUACUUCAUCUCAGGUGUAAGUACAAGUACGUAAUUGAUAUUAUGCCUCAUACUUUGGGUUUCAUUAGAUCUUAAACAUUUCAAUCAAAAUUGUUUGGAAAUUGUCUCCUCCCACGCAUGUGGCAUAAGCCGCGCGGAGUACCGAGUGCAAAAGUUUACUUGUCGCGAGUCGGGAGUUGGCCAUGCAUGAGGCGAGGCAAAUUAUGCUGUUGAUCGUGCAGCGACCACAGAGCUUCGACAAAGCAGUGCAGCUUAUUGUCAGCUCACUCCUGAACUUGUGACCGCCGUGAGCAUGGGAUUCCAGCUUCCGGCUAACGAAGUGAUAGACACAACCCCUGACAGCAGCCCAAGAUAGGAAGACCUGGCUACACCUCUGCAAAGUCUGCCUUGUCCCCCUGGUGACCAGUGUCGGUUAUGGAACUAGGUGCUACUUUAGCAGAAGGCUGUCAGUUCCAUUGUCCAUUGUACUCUGCUAGCAACUGAGAUGCAAGCUGAUACACCACUUAUCACUGUUCCCGGCCUCUCU